rnacentral:rRNA from 1 species
CGCGUAGGCGGAUAGUACAGUCAGACGUGAAAUUCCUGGGCUCAACCUGGGGACUGCGUUUGAUACGUGCUGUCUUGAGUGAGGAAGAGGGUUGUGGAAUUCCCAGUGUAGAGGUGAAAUUCGUAGAUAUUGGGAAGAACACCGGUGGCGAAGGCGGCAACCUGGUCCUUUACUGACGCUGAGGCGCGAAAGCGUGGGGAGCAAACAGGAUUAGAUACCCUGGUAGUCCACGCUGUAAACGAUGUGUGCUGGAUGUUGGGUGACUUAGUCACGCAGUGUCGUAGCUAACGCGAUAAGCACACCGCCUGGGGAGUACGGCCGCAAGGUUGAA